GUAUUGGCCUACCGUGGCAAUGACGGGUAACGGGGAAUUAGGGUUCGAUUCCGGAGAGGGAGCCUGAGAAACGGCUACCACAUCUAAGGAAGGCAGCAGGCGCGCAAAUUACCCAAUCCUAAUACAGGGAGGUAGUGACAAGAAAUAACAAUACAGGACUUUUUGGUUUUGUAAUUGGAAUGAGUUAAGUAUAAACCCCUUUACAAGUAUUAAUUGGAGGGCAAGUCUGGUGCCAGCAGCCGCGGUAAUUCCAGCUCCAAUAGCGUAUAUUAAAGUUGUUGCAGUUAAAAAGCUCGUAGUUGGAUUUCUGUUAAUAAUUUAUAUAAAAUAUUUUGAUGAAUAUUUAUAUAAUAUUAACAUAAUUCAUAUUACUAUAUAUUUUAGUAUAUGAAAUUUUACUUUGAGAAAAUUAGAGUGCUUAAAGCAGGCAUAUGCCUUGAAUACUCCAGCAUGGAAUAAUAUUAAAGAUUUUUAUCUUUCUUAUUGGUUCUAAGAUAAGAAUAAUGAUUAAUAGGGACAGUUGGGGGCAUUUGUAUUUAA
rnacentral:rRNA from 1 species